CACGUAGGGCGCGAGCGUUGUCCGGAAUUAUUGGCGUAAAGAGCUCGUAGGCGGCCUGUUGCGUCCGCUGUGAAAGCCCCGGGGCUUAACCCCGGGUCGGCAGUGGAUACGGGCAGGCUAGAGGUAGGUAGGGGAGAAUGGAAUUCCCGGUGUAGCGGUGAAAUGCGCAGAUAUCGGGAGGAACACCGGUGGCGAAGGCGGUUCUCUGGGCCUUACCUGACGCUGAGGAGCGAAAGCGUGGGGAGCGAACAGG
rnacentral:rRNA from 1 species